UAGCUUCUACAGCUCUAGUGAGCCA
rnacentral:piRNA from 1 species